UACGUAGGGAGCAAGCGUUGUCCGGAAUCAUUGGGCGUAAAGCGCGCGUAGGCGGCCCUGUAAGUCCGCUGUGAAAGUCAAAGGCUCAACCUUUGAAAGCCGGUGGAUACUGCAGGGCUAGAGUCCGGAAGAGGCGAGUGGAAUUCCUGGUGUAGCGGUGGAAUGCGCAGAUAUCAGGAGGAACACCAAUAGCGAAGGCAGCUCGCUGGGACGGUACUGACGCUCAGGUGCGAAAGCGUGGGGAGCAAACAGG
rnacentral:rRNA from 1 species